rnacentral:tRNA from 1 species
GCGAAGGUGGCGAAAUUGGCAUACGCGCCAGACUUAGGAUCUGGUUCUGUAAUGGAAUUGCGGGUUCAAGUCCCGCCCUUCGCA